CACGUAGGCACCAAGCGUUGUCCGGAUUUAUUGGGCGUAAAGAGCUCGUAGGCGGUUCAGUAAGUCAGGUGUGAAAUCUUUGGGCUUAACCCAAAGCGUGCACUUGGUACUGCUGUGACUUGAGUUCGGUAGGGGAGUGGGGAAUUCCUAGUGUAGCGGUGAAAUGCGCAGAUAUUAGGAGGAACACCGGUGGCGAAGGCGCCACUCUGGGCCGAAACUGACGCUGAGGAGCGAAAGCGUGGGUAGCAAACAGG
rnacentral:rRNA from 1 species